GUUGGUGACCAUAAUAUCGGGGUCACACCUGUUCCCAUCUCGAACACAGUAGUUAAGCCCGAUAUGCCGAUGAUACUGUUCAGCGGGAAAGUAGGUUAUCGCCAACU
rnacentral:rRNA from 1 species